CCUACGGGUUGCACCAGUGGGGAAUAUUGCACAAUGGGCGCAAGCCUGAUGCAGCCAUGCCGCGUGUGUGAAGAAGGCCUUCGGGUUGUAAAGCACUUUCAGCGGGGAAGAAGGCGGUGAGGUUAAUAACCUCACCAAUUGACGUUACCCGCAGAAGAAGCACCGGCUAACUCCGUGCCAGCAGCCGCGGUAAUACGGAGGGUGCAAGCGUUAAUCGGAAUUACUGGGCGUAAAGCGCACGCAGGCGGUCUGUCAAGUCGGAUGUGAAAUCCCCGGGCUCAACCUGGGAACUGCAUUCGAAACUGGCAGGCUAGAGUCUUGUAGAGGGGGGUAGAAUUCCAGGUGUAGCGGUGAAAUGCGUAGAGAUCUGGAGGAAUACCGGUGGCGAAGGCGGCCCCCUGGACAAAGACUGACGCUCAGGUGCGAAAGCGUGGGGAGCAAACAGGAUUAGAUACCCCGGUAGUC
rnacentral:rRNA from 1 species